rnacentral:rRNA from 1 species
GGGAAGAGCUCAAUUUGAAAUCUGGCGUCCUCAGGGCGUCCGAGUUGUAAUCUAUAGAGGCGUUUUCCGUGCCGGACCGUGUCCAAGUUCCUUGGAACAGGAUAUCAAAGAGGGUGACAAUCCCGUACUUGACACGACGACCGGUGCUCUGUGAUACGUCUUCUACGAGUCGAGUUGUUUGGGAAUGCAGCUCAAAAUGGGUGGUGAGUUCCAUCUAAAGCUAAAUAUUGGCGAGAGACCGAUAGCGAACAAGUACCGUGAGGGAAAGAUGAAAAGCACUUUGGAAAGAGAGUUAAACAGUACGUGAAAUUGUUGAAAGGGAAACGAUUGAAGUCAGUCGUGACCGAGAGGCUCAGCCGGCUCUGCCGGUGUAUUCCCCUCGGUCGGGUCAACAUCAGUUUUGUCCGGUGGAUAAGGGCGGUAGGAAGGUGGCACCCUCGGGUGUGUUAUAGCCUGCCGUCGCAUACAUCGGGUGAGACUGAGGAACGCAGCUCGCCUUUAUGGCCGGGGUUCGCCCACGUCCGAGCUUAGGAUGUUGACAUAAUGGCUUUAAACGACCCGUCUUGAAA